GGCGGACGGGUGAGUAAUGCUUAGGAAUCUGCCUGUUAGUGGGGGACAACAUUCCGAAAGGAAUGCUAAUACCGCAUACGUCCUACGGGAGAAAGCAGGGGAUCUUCGGACCUUGCGCUAAAUGAUGAGCCUAAGUCGGAUUAGCUAGUUGGUGGGGUAAAGGCCUACCAAGGCGACGAUCUGUAGCGGGUCUGAGAGGAUGAUCCGCCACACUGGGACUGAGACACGGCCCAGACUCCUACGGGAGGCAGCAGUGGGGAAUAUUGGACAAUGGGCGGAAGCCUGAUCCAGCCAUGCCGCGUGUGUGAAGAAGGCCUUUUGGUUGUAAAGCACUUUAAGCGAGGAGGAGGCUACUAGUACUAAUACUACUGGAUAGUGGACGUUACUCGCAGAAUAAGCACCGGCUAACUCUGUGCCAGCAGCCGCGGUAAUACAGAGGGUGCGAGCGUUAAUCGGAUUUACUGGGCGUAAAGCGUGCGUAGGCGGCUUUUUAAGUCGGAUGUGAAAUCCCUGAGCUUAACUURGGAAUUGCAUUCGAUACUGGGAAGCUAGAGUAUGGGAGAGGAUGGUAGAAUUCCAGGUGUAGCGGUGAAAUGCGUAGAGAUCUGGAGGAAUACCGAUGGCGAAGGCAGCCAUCUGGCCUAAUACUGACGCUGAGGUACGAAAGCAUGGGGAGCAAACAGGAUUAGAUACCCUGGUAGUCCAUGCCGUAAACGAUGUCUACUAGCCGUUGGGGCCUUUGAGGCUUUAGUGGCGCAGCUAACGCGAUAAGUAGACCGCC
rnacentral:rRNA from 1 species